AUUUGUACAACAAGAGGAGACUAGGAGGAACGCUAUAGUUCACAGAUCUACCAUUGAAAAAGCAGGGUUGAUUGCUAAUUCUGCAAGAGAACAUAUCCAGGCUGCAAAGAAUAGUUUUUCAGAUAGAGAUCAAUUAUUUUGUGACUAUUGCGGUAAGAACAGACACACUAAGGAGUUCUGCUGGAAAUUACAUGGACGCCCAAC
rnacentral:lncRNA from 1 species